GUGCUCGUGUUGGGUGUUGUAUCGUUGAUGGCUGGGUCGACCACUGGUGUACCGAUGUCUACUUGGUAUGGCGCAAACCAAACCGCAACGCCGCCGCCUUCCUACACAACUUACGCAACGACCAGUUUCUGCAUCGAGGUCUUCCAGUACUACACCACUAAAGCACCGGAGUUUUAUACCACAACUUACGCUGCCUCUAGCCACUACACUGACGCCCUGAAGUAUUACUCUGCCCCGAGUUACUACACCAUUUAGGCGACGGAGUACUACAUGACUACGCAUGCUGCCUGGAGUUACUACACCACCAAGGCGUAUGCUGCCCAUCCUACUACACCGAGGCUCCUAAUUACUACACCGAGGCUCCCGCUUUCUCCACCAAAACGGCCGAGUACUACACCGAAGUGAAGUACUUCUCUACCCCGAUCUACACAACGCAGUCCCGACAUGCUACGCAGAAGCUGCUCUUUCGUGCUUUGUUGAACUGAAACACUACACUGAUGCUCCAGUCUACUACACCACGACCUACGCUACACCUAGCUACAACACCGCAGUCCCCAAGUACUACACCGAAAAAGCCGCCCAUUACACAACCACAUGCCUGGUAUACCACAUCGAGGAAUUUAAGUAUUACCCUGCUCCAAACUACUACCAUCUGAUGUUCAUAUGUAUUAGACCAGCAAUUCUCCUGACUUUGUCACCACUACUUAUGUUGCUCCUACCUAUACAUCUAAAUUCUGUAGUAUUUCACUGGAUAUGUUGAAAGAUUGCUGAAAUACAAGAUUGAUCGAUAAA